rnacentral:rRNA from 2 species
GUCUCUUUGAGUAUUUUUAAUAGAGAGUUGUGCCUGCUCGGUGAUUAAUAUUAAACAGCUGCGGUAUUAUAACUGUACUAAGGUAGCAUAAUAAUUUGCCUUAUAAAUUGAGGCUAGAAUGAAUGGUUUGACGAAAAUUAUACUGUCUCUAGUUUAUUUAUUAGAAGUUAAUUUUUAUAGUGAAAAAGCUUAAAUAAUUUAAAAGGACGAGAAGACCCUAUUGAGCUUUAUAUUAUAUAUUGAAGGUAUAAUUGUAUUUAUUUAAUAUAAUUUUGGUUGGGGUGAUCAAGGAAUAAAAAAUUGUUAGUUAACUUCCUUAAAAGAAAUAAUAUAUAUGUAUUAAUAAAUCAAUAGUUUUGCUUAGAAGAUAAGUUACCAUAGGGAUAACAGCGUAAUUUUUUUUGAAAGUUCUUAUUGAAAAAAGAGAUUGCGACCUCGAUGUUGGAUUAAAAUAACCUUAAGGUGUAGAGGCUUUAAUUGGUAAAUCUGUUCGAUUUUUAAAAUUUU